AACGAACGCUGGCGGCAUGCCUAAUACAUGCAAGUCGAACGAACACUUCGGUGUUAGUGGCGCACGGGUGCGUAACGCGUGGGAAUCUGCCCUUGGGUUCGGAAUAACAGUUAGAAAUGACUGCUAAUACCGGAUGAUGACGUAAGUCCAAAGAUUUAUCGCCCAGGGAUGAACCCGCGUAAGAUUAGCUAGUUGGUGAGGUAAAGGCUCACCAAGGCUACGAUCUUUAGCUGGUCUGAGAGGAUGAUCAGCCACACUGGGACUGAGACACGGCCCAGACUCCUACGGGAGGCAGCAGUAGGGAAUAUUGGACAAUGGGGGCAACCCUGAUCCAGCAAUGCCGCGUGAGUGAUGAAGGCCUUAGGGUUGUAAAGCUCUUUUACCCGGGAUGAUAAUGACAGUACCGGGAGAAUAAGCUCCGGCUAACUCCGUG
rnacentral:rRNA from 1 species